AACGAACGCUGGCGGCAGGCCUAACACAUGCAAGUCGAGCGCCCUUUCGGGGGAGCGGCGGACGGGUGAGUAACGCGUGGGAAUAUGCCCUUCUCUACGGAAUAGCCUCGGGAAACUGAGAGUAAUACCGUAUACGCCCUGUGGGGGAAAGAUUUAUCGGGGAAGGAUUAGCCCGCGUUGGAUUAGGUAGUUGGUGGGGUAAUGGCCUACCAAGCCGGCGAUCCAUAGCUGGUUUGAGAGGAUGAUCAGCCACACUGGGACUGAGACACGGCCCAGACUCCUACGGGAGGCAGCAGUGGGGAAUCUUAGACAAUGGGGGCAACCCUGAUCUAGCCAUGCCGCGUGAGUGAUGAAGGCCUUAGGGUUGUAAAGCUCUUUCAGCUGGGAAGAUAAUGACGGUACCAGCAGAAGAAGCCCCGGCUAACUCCGUG
rnacentral:rRNA from 1 species